UACGUAGGUGGCAAGCGUUGUCCGGAAUUACUGGGCGUAAAGGGCGCGUAGGCGGUCAGCACAAGUCAGUUGUGAAAUCUCCGGGCUUAACUCGGAAAGGUCAACUGAUACUGUGCGACUAGAGUGCAGAAGGGGCAACUGGAAUUCUCGGUGUAGCGGUGAAAUGCGUAGAUAUCGAGAGGAACACCUGCGGCGAAGGCGGGUUGCUGGGCUGACACUGAGGUACGAAAGCGUGGGGAGCGAACAGG
rnacentral:rRNA from 1 species